GUCUACAGCCAUGCUACUCUGAACAAGCCCGAUCUCGUCUGAUCUCGAAAGCUAAGCAGGGUCGGGCCUGGUUAGUAAUUGGAUGGGAGGCCACCUAGAAAGACCAGGUGCUGUAGGCA
rnacentral:rRNA from 1 species